rnacentral:rRNA from 1 species
AUUGAACGCUGGCGGAAUGCUUUACACAUGCAAGUCGAACGGCAGCACGGGGGCAACCCUGGUGGCGAGUGGCGAACGGGUGAGUAAUACAUCGGAACGUGCCCCGUCGUGGGGGAUAACGUAGCGAACGUUACGCUAAUACCGCAUACGAUCUACGGAUGAAAGCGGGGGACCGUAAGGCCUCGCGCGAUUGGAGCGGCCGAUGUCAGAUUAGGUAGUUGGUGAGGUAAAGGCUCACCAAGCCGACGAUCUGUAGCUGGUCUGAGAGGACGACCAGCCACACUGGGACUGGGACAGCGCCCAGACUCCUACGGGAGGCAGCAGUGGGUAAUUUUGGACAAGGGGGGCAAGCCUGAUCCAGCCAUUCCGCGUGCAGGACGAAGGCCUUCGGGUUGUAAACUGCUUUUGUACGGAACGAAAAGGCUCUGGUUAAUACCUGGGGCUCAUGACGGUACCGUAAGAAUAAGCACCGGCUAACUACGUGCCAGCCGCCGCAGUAA